rnacentral:tRNA from 1 species
ACUUGAAUAGCUUAUCUAGAGCGCAACACUGAAGAUGUUGAUGAGGUAUGUCAUUACCUUUAAGUA